rnacentral:misc_RNA from 1 species
AAAGUCGUAACAAGGUUUCCGUAGGUGAACCUGCGGAAGGAUCAUUACAAAUCCAUCUCUGAUAAACACGUUGAACAGUCAGUCGUCAUUCACAUGAUCCUAUCAUCAAAUCAUUCAUACAUGUCAUUACAACUCGACACCCUGGAUCUCUAGGCUCUU